CGACGAUCAGUAGCCGGACUGAGAGGUUGAACGGCCACAUUGGGACUGAGAUACGGCCCAGACUCCUACGGGAGGCAGCAGUCGGGAAUAUUGCGCAAUGGAGGAAACUCUGACGCAGUGACGCCGCGUAUAGGAAGAAGGUUUUCGGAUUGUAAACUAUUGUCGUUAGGGAAGAUAAAAGACAGUACCUAAGGAGGAAGCUCCGGCUAACUACGUGCCAGCAGCCGCGGUAAUACGUAGGGAGCAAGCGUUAUCCGGAUUUAUUGGGUGUAAAGGGUGCGUAGACGGGACAACAAGUUAGUUGUGAAAUCCCUCGGCUUAACUGAGGAACUGCAACUAAAACUAUUGUUCUUGAGUGUUGGAGAGGAAAGUGGAAUUCCUAGUGUAGCGGUGAAAUGCGUAGAUAUUAGGAGGAACACCGGUGGCGAAGGCGACUUUCUGGACAAUAACUGACGUUGAGGCACGAAAGUGUGGGGAGCAAACAGGAUUAGAUACCCUGGUAGUCCACACCGUAAACGAUGGAUACUAGGUGUAGGAAAUGAUUUCAUUUUCUGUGCCGUCGCAAACGCAAUAAGUAUCCCACCUGGGGAGUACGGCCGCAAGGUUGAAACUCAAAGGAAUUGACGGGGGCCCGCACAAGCAGUGGAGUAUGUGGUUUAAUUCGAAGCAACGCGAAGAACCUUACCAGGGCUUGACAUAUAGAUGAAUAACUAAGAGAUUAGUUAGUCCUUCGGGACAUCUAUACAGGUGGUGCAUGGUUGUCGUCAGCUCGUGUCGUGAGAUGUUAGGUUAAGUCCUGCAACGAGCGCAACCCCUGUGAUUAGUUGCCAACAGGUUAAGCUGGGAACUCUAAUCAGACUGCCGGUGAUAAAUCGGAGGAAGGUGGGGAUGACGUCAAAUCAUCAUGCCCUUUAUGUCCUGGGCUACACACGUACUACAAUGGCUGUAACAGAGAGAAGCAACACCGCGAGGUAGAGCGAAACUCCAAAAGCAGUCUCAGUUCGGAUUGAAGGCUGAAAUUCGCCUUCAUGAAGCCGGAAUUGCUAGUAAUGGCAGGUCAGCAUACUGCCGUGAAUACGUUCCCGGGCCUUGUACACACCGCCCGUCACACCAUGAGAGUUGGGAAUACCCGAAGCCUGUGAGCUAACUUUUAGAGGCAGCAGUCGAAGGUAGAAUCAAUGAUUGGGGUGAAGUCGUAACAAGGUAGCCGUAUC
rnacentral:rRNA from 1 species